GACACCGGCCCUCGAGGCCUGGAGUUGCCCACCCCUGAUAUAGACAGAUCUUAAGAGCCUGUCUGACUGGAGGCAGGGCAGCGCUGUUAUGGAUGUUUGAGGCUGGCAGUGCAGACUGGGGCGACGGGAGGCGGUGCUGGCAGUAAACAGCAGCCGCAGGGAAACGGUCAACUGGCACACCCCACCAAAAAUAGAUCAUUACAGAAGUCUUCAGUGAGCAGUAGAUGGAUCAACUGAGGAGCCAGAUGCAUUUCUAAUUUCUUCUGACAGGUCUUUGCUGGAUUUCCCAUUUCUUAUGGACAUGAACACCUUGUUGGUCAAAAUACUCUUUUGUGUAGUCAAACUGUGUUCUCUUGGGUAUUUUUUUGUCAAUUUAAGUAAUGAAAAUGGAACAACUUAUGUGUCUUUGUGACAGGCUGCCCAUAAACUGCAUAAAAAUACAAUUUAAAACUGGUUCUUAGCCAAGUUGUCUUAUGUGUAGACAACACUGCUUCACCUCUUGAGUAAGGGGCAUUUUUUAUGCUGGAAUGAAUCAUUUCAGUGUUAAGUGGCUUAACAAACCAACAAGCAAACAAAAAUAUUCUUCUGAAAACGGACAGAUAUAAGAACUGGACUACAAUGAGUGAAAAAGAAGGCAAUGUCCAAAGAAAAACUCUGAAAGACCUUCAGAAAGACAGGAGAAUUAUUGCUCAAGAUAACUUUAAAAACUACAAGAAACUCAGGCUCCUUGGAAGCAGUAUUGUACAUUACUAUACUUUAGUAUUAGUAGUAAAUCAUAAGUAGAUUAGCAUAAAUUCAUCCUUAGGCAUGGAUUAAUUUUCCACAGCAGACAUGUACAUGACACAAACAAGUAGGACAUAACAUUUUGUAAAAAGAAAACACUGAAUGUAUUUAUUAUUUAUUAUCUGCAACUAUAUUUUUAAAUAAGUUUAAUUUUAAUUACUUGCCUUUGAAAGUUAUGGUUAGGCAAACAACAGGUGGUUGGCCAAGAUUUGUAAUUAACAGAAACUAAAGGAAACAGGCUGCCCUUUUCACACUGUUAAAAAGUAAUCAUGAAAAUAAUCAAUGAAUGAUUCAAGAGUUAGAAUGAUAUUUAUCUGGAGCUGUGAGAUUAACUGGCAACUCUGGAUUUGGAGAAACCAAAAAUGUACAUGUUAUAAAUCAUUAAAAAAAUAAAAUAAAACGCAUUGAAUUUCCCAUUUUUUCUGAUGCUAUAAGAAUUCCCAGGACUACGAUCUCACAUCCUGAGAAACAAUGUUUUUAGCUCCACAUCCAGCACCGCCGCGUUCCAGACGCCGUCUAAGGGUGAACACAGGAAACCUCAAGUGAUCGCUUCCUCUCUUUAAGAAUAGACUGACAUCACUUUCUACCAGCAUGAUCGCCUGACUGAGUGACACAUUAUUAUGUAAUGUGUGCUAUGCUUAACGCCCAGGCUGGAAGUACACUGGGAGUUGUCCUACCUCCUCCUUCUACUCCUUUAAGCUUUUUUUUCUGCUCUUCAAGACAAAAUAAAUAAAAGCAAAAACACAUAAAAGGAAAACAUGCCACAGGUUUGUAUUCUCUGAAAGGUCACGCUCGCUUAAAAAUAAAAUAAUUUCUUUGACAGGAGGUUGAAAAAGUUAAAUCCCCUGAGAUUUACCUUCAGGAGGAAGGAGGAAAGUAGCUGUCCUCCUGUUAUAAAGAGCUGCUCUGCUUCACAGAACGUGUCAGAAGCUAUUACGAGCUUCCUUUCUCCCUCAUGUUUGAUCUACAUUUAACCACCACUACAAAGAAAGAAAAAUCAGCACAGGGAGACUGGCUGCUGGUCUGCCAUUGGGGAGACUUGUAAUUCUUUCUGAAAGCAUACAGUA